rnacentral:lncRNA from 1 species
CCCACCAGGCUCAUCCAUAUGCCUCCUUAGCCACCCUUAGGCUGAUCUACCCAAGUUGAACUGCUUAGUCGACUUGCACACUGGUUGCACCUGCAGCAGUCUUACUUGCACAAGGCACCUGCACUAGGCUGCCUUCAACCAACAUGCACAGGUUGCUUAGGCUUGGCAUGCCUCUCGCACUUUCCAAUUCGCCUCGCAUCCUUG